rnacentral:rRNA from 1 species
AGAUUGAUCACUCGGAUUGAGACGAUGAGGAAUUUGUUAUUGGCGAUAAUUAGUGUGCUUCCCAAGAUGACGGCAAUUUUUUUAUUGCUCAUGUUGAUGUUCUUUAUCU